GACGAACGCUGGCGGCGUGCUUAACACAUGCAAGUCGAACGGAAAGGCCUGUCCUUCCUUGUGUUGGACGGGUACUCGAGUGGCGAACGGGUGAGUAACACGUGAGUGAUCUGCCCCCAACUUGGGUAUAAGCCUGGGAAACUGGGUCUAAUUCCCGAUAGGACUGCAGGGUGGUGCCUGUGGUGGAAAACGAUUUUCUAGUGGUUGGGGAUGAGCUCGCGGCCUAUCAGCUUGUUGGUGGGGUAAUGGCCUACCAAGGCGGCGACGGGUAGCCGGCCUGAGAGGGUGGACGGCCACAUUGGGACUGAGAUACGGCCCAGACUCCUACGGGAGGCAGCAGUGGGGAAUAUUGCACAAUGGGCGGAAGCCUGAUGCAGCGACGCCGCGUGGGGGAUGACGGCCUUCGGGUUGUAAACUCCUUUCGACCGCGAGGAAGCCGCCUGGUUGGAAGGGUGGUGACGGUAGUGAUAGAAGAAGCACCGGCUAACUACGUG
rnacentral:rRNA from 1 species